rnacentral:hammerhead_ribozyme from 1 species
AUCCAGUUAACGAGUCCCAAAUAGGACGAAACGCGCGUCCUGGAU